CCCGCCGUCUGUCGGAAAACCGUCAGCCUUUCCUCGUGGAUCUCGUACGCGGUUUCGGUGGCUUCGGUUCGUUAACGUUUGUUGCUUGCCCUUGUGCUGUUUUAGACACCCUGCGUGUACGCUGUGCUCCGGCAUCGUGUCCCGUUGCUGUGUAACGUCGGGACGCAAUCGUCGAAGAAGCGUUGUCAAGUGUCUCCGACGCCGCUCUACUGACAGCAACAAUCGAGUUUCUGCUUCGAACCCCGGCGCAUCGUGCUGGAUGGAUCCGAGCUGGUCGUCCAAAGGAGAAACUUGCCUUUGUCUGGGGUAUCGGUGGCGAGGUGCAUCCGUGAACAUCGUUUUGAUGACGCAGCUGUCGCACUUUGCUGCCGGAUGUCAUUUGAUGUCUUCUCUUAAGCCUGUCGCCUUCUGCACGUCGUCCGGGUCCAAAUCCAUGCCUGGAACCUCGACGACCUUGUUUCCCGCCCUGGAAAUCACGUUGGCAUCCAUCUUCGCCUCGGAGGAGCACCUCACCGGCAUGGUCGCCAGGUAGGCUUAGUGGCCCGCGGCCGCGCCCGGAGUGAAAAGUCCCCGAAGUUAAAAAAGUCC